rnacentral:lncRNA from 1 species
GGGAGAAUGGUUUAGCUGAGCAAAAGUUUUGGGGUUGGAUAUAUAGCAGUGGUUAGAGACAGAGACAGCAGCACGGAGGUGAGAGGUUUCUGUCCCCUAGCUGUUUGCUAUUGACCACAGCAAUUUGGGUGGUACAUACGUUCUGCCAGUGCUUCCCAUGGGCAUUAGUGCAAGUCAGUGGCUUUACUCACUGCUGUAGCAGCUUGCCUGGAGAAGCAGAGGUGCUGAAGGUGGUUUGCUUGAGCCAGACUGCAACUCCAGCUUUGAGAUUCUAACAGUGCCAUGUCUGGAGUAAGAGAAGAGGGAAAUGUAUUGUUUCCAUGUUGUGGCAGAAGCCCGUUGUGCUUCAAACAUGUGCAUACAUAAAUAAAUUACAAUCAAAAUAAGUAGCAAGGGAAGUAUUACUAUUCAUAUUUUAGAGGCGAGGAACCAAGCCAUAAAGGGAUACAGUGAGCAGGUCCCCUACAGACAUGCUAUAAUGUAAGAACUGGCAACAAAACUCAGGAUUUAUCACUACUACCAUUUUACAGAUGGAAACACCAAGUCAGAGGGCAAUGCUGGCUUGCACAAAGCUUCACAGAUUAUUUGUAGGAAACCCAGGACCUGAAUCUGGAGCUACUGUGCCCUGGUCAGCAGUUUUCCCAAGGGAAUCACUGAUAAGGAGGGACUGUGGUGACCAACACCUUGGCAUGAUGUCUCAUGUAUCUCAGAGCAGUUAUGCAAGCAUGCUUUCCUCCCCAAUGCCACAUAUGUGGGUAAACCAUAGCACAAGGAGGUAAGACAAUCCCAAGAAGAAAUAAGAAAAGCCUUUGGCGAAUCCGUGAUAGGCAUAACAUCUUGAACCUGCACCUCACCAGUUGAUCAAGGCCUUCAGAUCACCUGAAGAAUCUGCUGCAGCAUUCGGUGCACAUAUUAUCCUUCUUCAAAGGAGCAACAGUGUGCACAUCAUUAAAAAUAAAUAUUUCAUGCUGAUCUUUCCCA